UCGUUCCCAAUUCCAAGUCCCAACCAAACCUCUUUUAUUCUCUCUUUCUCUCUCUCUCUCUCUCCCAUUCACAAGCAACCAAACCAACCUCAUCUAUCUCUCUCGGCAAGGGUUAAUCCUCCUGAUUAUGGCUGGGUUUCUAGCGAAGGCAAAGAGGCUAUACCCCAAAACCUUCGCAAUCCCAUCGAUGAGUGUUUCCAUUCGCCACCGAUCGACCAAGCCCGAACCGCAACUUGUGCAGGUCGACAUGGCAGAGUACGAUGUGACGCUCAAGCUCUUCGAUGACCUUAUUCAUCGUAUUCUCGUCAAGAAGGCUACCCCUGAUUGGCUCCCCUUCGUUCCUGGUUCCUCCUUCUGGGUCCCACCUCGUCCUUCUCCCUCCAAAUUUGUCGACCUCGUACAUAAACUCACCAAUGACGCCGAACACUCUCUUUCCCAAGAGGAAUCGCUCUUCCUCGCCACCCUCCGCGGAUGGCCCUCCUCCAAUUUCUACAUCCAAGAUAAUGCAAAUACUCAUGGUGGGGAUACUGAUGUGGAGGUAAAUAGCCCAGAAGGGAUGGAGGGGACGGUGAAAGUGAAGGUUCUAACAUUUUCAGAAAAUGUAGCUCACUCAGAAGAUGAGGAAGGAUGAUCCACAAUUUAGCUAUGCCAGUUGCUGCGAUACUCUUCAAAGGAAACAAAAUACCAAUAAUCAAUGAUGCAAAAGUCUGAAUAUCUUAAGGAUAUUCAUGGUGCAACGCGAGCUCAUUGAAGAGUCCACAAAAAGCAAGGUUAGAAAAAUGGGCUCUCUAGAGAUUGAGAAGGACAAAUGCUAAAUGGAAAUUCCUGUAGAUGCAGAACUGGUGAUAGUUUUGGGAUUAAUCCUCUCUCACUCUACAUGACCCAACAUGGAUCUGUUUAUCCAGUGUAUGCAGAACUGCUGAUUAUCUGUUUAUCCAAUGUAUAUAUUUGUCCAACUAAUAAAGCAGAAACUUUUAUAAUAUUCCUCUAAACAAACUAACACUUGUUCAAUUUAGGGCGCAUAUUAUAUUCAUGUAUAUAUAACUGUAAUAGACUUCAUUGGGUGUUAAGCUUCAUUUAAGUUACAAACUAGCUUGAGUU